rnacentral:rRNA from 1 species
CAGGUCAGCAUACUGCCGUGAAUACGUUCCCGGGCCUUGUACACACCGCCCGUCACACCAUGAGAGUUGGGAAUACCCGAAGCCUGUGAGCUAACUUUAAGAGGCAGCAGUCGAAGGUAGAAUCAAUGAUUGGGGUGAAGUCGUAACAAGGUACC